GACGAACGCUGGCGGCGUGCUUAACACAUGCAAGUCGAACGGAAAGGCCCUGCUUUUGUGGGGUGCUCGAGUGGCGAACGGGUGAGUAACACGUGAGUAACCUGCCCUUGACUUUGGGAUAACUUCAGGAAACUGGGGCUAAUACCGGCUAGGAGCUCCUGCUGCAUGGUGGGGGUUGGAAAGUUUCGGCGGUUGGGGAUGGACUCGCGGCGUAUCAGCUUGUUGGUGGGGUAGUGGCUUACCAAGGCUUUGACGGGUAGCCGGCCUGAGCGGGUGACCGGCCACAUUGGGACUGAGAUACGGCCCAGACUCCUACGGGAGGCAGCAGUGGGGAAUAGUGCACAAUGGGCGGAAGCCUGAUGCAGCAACGCCGCGUGCGGGAUGACGGCCUUCGGGUUGUAAACCGCUUUCGCCUGUGACGAAGCGUGAGUGACGGUAAUGGGUAAAGAAGCACCGGCUAACUACGUG
rnacentral:rRNA from 1 species